CUCUUCUGUCAAUAGUGAAAACGAAACCAUCUGAGGGAAAGGAAGCAAAUACUAUGGCGAAACCCUCGAAGCAACAGGAAUCCUCUGACGAGGCGCUAUCUAGCGGCUCCAAUUCGUCCGAAGAGGAGCAAAUCAACGAACAGAUCAACGAGGAGGACGAGGAGGAGAUAGAAGCCGUGGCUCGCUCCGCUGAUUCCGAUGAUGAUGAAGCUGCUGACGAAACUGGAGACGACGUCAGCGCCGAUGCUGACGAUGUUGACGAGGAUGAAAACAGCAAUGAAAUAAGCAAGCGUGAAAAGCAAAGACUCAAGGAACUGCAGAAAUUGAAGAAGCAGAAGAUUCAGGAGAUGUUGGAUGCACAAAAUGCGGCUAUAGAUGCAGAUAUG
rnacentral:misc_RNA from 1 species